CCCCUGAUAGCUCAACGGUAGAGCGCGCGGCUGUAGACCGCGAGGUUCUGGGUUCAAAUCCCAGUCGGGGGA
rnacentral:tRNA from 1 species